rnacentral:rRNA from 1 species
GAAUCUGCCCUCAGGAGGGGGAUAACGGUUGGAAACGNCCGCUAAUACCCCAUAUGCCGAGAGGUGAAAUGAAAUUCGCCUGAGGAUGAGCUCGCGUCUGAUUAGCUAGUUGGUAAGGUAAUGGCUUACCAAGGCAUUGAUCAGUAGCUGGUCUGAGAGGAUGAUCAGCCACACUGAGACUGAGACACGGCCCAGACUCCUACGGGAGGCAGCAGUGGGGAAUUUUCCGCAAUGGGCGCAAGCCUGACGGAGCAACGCCGCGUGAGGGAUGAAGGCCUCUGGGCUGUAAACCUCUUUUAUCAAGGAAGAAGAACUGACGGUACUUGAUGAAUAAGCCACGGCUAAUUCCGUGCCAGCAGCCGCGGUAAUACGGGAGUGGCAAGCGUUAUCCGGAAUUAUUGGGCGUAAAGCGUCCGCAGGCGGUUUUACAAGUCUGUCGUUAAAGCGUGGAGCUCAACUCCAUUUCAGCGAUGGAAACUGUAAGACUCGAGUGUGGUAGGGGCAGAGGGAAUUCCCGGUGUAGCGGUGAAAUGCGUAGAUAUCGGGAAGAACACCAGUGGCGAAAGCGCUCUGCUGGGCCAUAACUGACGCUCAUGGACGAAAGCCAGGGGAGCG